ensembl:lncRNA
GGAGAAUAAUAAGGGGGUAUUAGCACCUUUGUGGGAGUGCAUUUAUUUCCAUCUCCCACCACCGUGAUUCAUGUCCUGGGAGCGUUUUGUAUUAGUCGCGGAUUUGCAAAGGGCCUGUAAUUCUGCUGCAUCAACAGCAGAAAUUAAUGAAUGUGGAUUCAGAUCUGCCUUUGUGGAGGGGCAGCUUAUCCCCGUUCAUUUCUCCCCUGAUUCAUAUUUUAGGGUUGGAGAUUUUUUUUUUACCUCGGUUGUUCUCCAUUUUCGGGCAAAUGUGUGAGGUAAUGACACGCUAUGCCUGCGCAAAUUAAUACGGGACGUUUAUACGGGAGGAUCGCAUGUCUUACAACACAAAGUCUUAGCAAUAUUGCCCUCACUUUAAAGUAUGAGAGUACCGGAGCCAAUUUGUCUUUUGAGCUUUGAAGAACCUGUUUGCUUGUUGAUGAGAGGGAGAAUUCAUUGUUGUCGCAUGGAUGGGCAGCGCAGUCUGGCGCGGGAGACCAUUUUGCCAAUUAACACGUUUGCUUCCUGAUUGCCAGCCAACUACUCAGCCCUCAGUCGCGCCUUGUAGGUCAUACCUGGCUGCACCCAAAUGAGUUCCUACCUCUGGCUGAACUCACCAAAGGUUGAUUGGAAGAUAGCGCUGAUUGGUAAAAGGAAACAAGUUGUGCAUUUUUUCUUUUGGAAACGAGCACAACACGCAUCAUUGUGUGUAGUGCGACAGUGUUUUCGUCCAACCCUGAACAUACACAGUUUAGUUGACUUAAGGCGAGACAUUUUGCAAAUAAUGUGCUGACUUGCAAAGAAUGGAGAAAAGGGGAAGACCUUUAUUAUUCAAAAAUGAUCUAUUCUUCCUGAGGCUUUGAAAGUCAUAAAGAGCUGACACAUGCUCAUUUCAGCAUCGGCGUCUUCCCCUGUGACCUGUCAAUAAACCGGGAGUACAUUACACGUCUGGAAUCCUAAACAGGCUCUUUGUAGAUUAUUUGGGUCACGAGAAUAAUGUCUGUCUGCUGCAGGACCCCGGAUAACCUGGGGAGCUGGAAAACUAUUCUCUGGGACACGCCCCUCGCGAUAGGACAGUAACGGGGCCGACGCCCAUAUCUCCAGUGCUUACCUGGGACUCACAAGGAGAAAGACAGCAGCUACACCAUCAGCCAACCGAUGAUGAGGGGCAAGGGGCGUUCCAGCUGGAGAGACUGACAAAGGCAUUAUAUACUGGACAGGUUUAGCCCAGACGCUGGCCCUCUCCACUGGAUUUCCAUACAAUUAAAUUCUUCUCGGAGCUCGAAAACAAACUUAAAGCUAUCCCUAUGGUUUGUCGUAUCAGACCAUUUCGAUCGUGACUGAAGCAGCGUGCAGAGAGACAGAACAGCGAGGACAUGAGAUGGAACAUCUGGGCCUUUUCAUCAUUGUUUUCUGGAAUUUAUUUUUUCGACCUCGCGACUCAGGAAAUCUCAGGAAAUUAAAACGAGCCAAUUAUAUUCACUACUGUGUCUGCGUCUGUUUGUGUGU